ensembl:lncRNA
AUUGUGACAUCACCCACUGACAAGUACCCAUUGUCACAGCCACAGACACACCAGAAACUUCAGCUCCAGCAUAAGGAAGUCACACUCUCCAGAUCAUCCACAAGACAGCCUGACUGCAUGCACUGCCAUCCUUCCAGAUUUCACCUCAACUUUCAAGAGAAGAACUUCCCUUGUUUCGCCUUGUUAUUCAGAUAGAAAUUCCAAAGAGUGAAGAUUCACAAGACAGAAAAUCAUUAGAUGUGAAGACACGCAUUAGGUGAGUGGAGUGGCAACGGACAGGAUCACAGGGAAAACAGUGGCAGAACCAGGAAGGGGAAGCCAGUCACCUUGACGUGAACCAGGGCUCCUUUUACUGGCAUUUCUCACCUUUCUGUGCAAAACGAGAGCGUGGCCUUCUGGGAGCCUACACUCUGGAAGGAAGUACCUUCCCAUGUAACCCCCGGCUCCACAGUCUUGCUUGUGUCUUAGAUAGAGGACUCCAACCGUGGCGCAGAG